GCCCAGCUACCUCAGUAGGUAGAUCAUGAGACUCUUAAUCUCAGGGUUGUGGGUUUGAGCCCCAUGUUGGGUG
rfam:Mesocricetus auratus contig076022, whole genome shotgun sequence.